CCCUUAGAUGUUCUGGGCCGCACGCGCGCUACACUGACUACUUCAACGAGUUGUUUCCUUGAUCGAAAGGUCUGGGUAAUCUUUGAAAGGUAGUCGUGAUGGGGAUAGAUCCUUGCAAUUUUUGAUCUUCAACGAGGAAUUCCUAGUAAACGCAAGUCAUCAGCUUGCAUUGAUUACGUCUCUGCCCUUUGUACACACCGCCCGUCGCACCUACCGAUUGAAUGGUCCGGUGAAAUCUCGGGACGGCGGCUUGGUCGCUUGCGUCCGACUGCUGAAACUUGAUUAAACCAUAUCAUUUAGAGGAAGGUGAAGUCGUANCA
rnacentral:rRNA from 1 species